rnacentral:tRNA from 1 species
GAGGUUGUGGCUCAAUGGUAGAGCACUUGCCUAGCAUGUGUGAGGCACUGGGUUCAAUCCUCAGCACCACA